rnacentral:rRNA from 1 species
GAUGAACGCUGGCGGCGUGCCUAAUACAUGCAAGUCGAGCGAACGGACGAGAAGCUUGCUUUUCUGAUGUUAGCGGCGGACGGGUGAGUAACACGUGGAUAACCUACCUAUAAGACUGGGAUAACUUCGGGAAACCGGAGCUAAUACCGGAUAAUAUUUUGAACCGCAUGGUUCAAAAGUGAAAGACGGUCUUGCUGUCACUUAUAGAUGGAUCCGCGCUGCAUUAGCUAGUUGGUAAGGUAACGGCUUACCAAGGCAACGAUGCAUAGCCGACCUGAGAGGGUGAUCGGCCACACUGGAACUGAGACACGGUCCAGACUCCUACGGGAGGCAGCAGUAGGGAAUCUUCCGCAAUGGGCGAAAGCCUGACGGAGCAACGCCGCGUGAGUGAUGAAGGUCUUCGGAUCGUAAAACUCUGUUAUUAGGGAAGAACAUAUGUGUAAGUAACUGUGCACAUCUUGACGGUACCUAAUCAGAAAGCCACGGCUAACUACGUGCCAGCAGCCGCGGUAAUACGUAAGUGGCAAGCGUUAUCCGGAAUUAUUGGGCGUAAAGCGCGCGUAGGCGGUUUUUUAAGUCUGAUGUGAAAGCCCACGGCUCAACCGUGGAGGGUCAUUGGAAACUGGAAAACUUGAGUGCAGAAGAGGAAAGUGGAAUUCCAUGUGUAGCGGUGAAAUGCGCAGAGAUGUGGAGGAACAUCAGUGGCGAAGGCGACUUUCUGGUCUGUAACUGACGCUGAUGUGCGAAAGCGUGGGGAUCAAACAGGAUUAGAUACCCUGGUAGUCCACGCCGUAAACGAUGAGUGCUAAGUGUUAGGGGGUUUCCGCCCCUUAGUGCUGCAGCUAACGCAUUAAGCACUCCGCCUGGGGAGUACGACCGCAAGGUUGAAACUCAAAGGAAUUGACGGGGGCCCGCACAAGCGGUGGAGCAUGUGGUUUAAUUCGAAGCAACGCGAAGAACCUUACCAAAUCUUGACAUCCUUUGACAACUCUAGAGAUAGAGCCUUCCCCUUCGGGGGACAAAGUGACAGGUGGUGCAUGGUUGUCGUCAGCUCGUGUCGUGAGAUGUUGGGUUAAGUCCCGCAACGAGCGCAACCCUUAAGCUUAGUUGCCAUCAUUAAGUUGGGCACUCUAAGUUGACUGCCGGUGACAAACCGGAGGAAGGUGGGGAUGACGUCAAAUCAUCAUGCCCCUUAUGAUUUGGGCUACACACGUGCUACAAUGGACAAUACAAAGGGCAGCGAAACCGCGAGGUCAAGCAAAUCCCAUAAAGUUGUUCUCAGUUCGGAUUGUAGUCUGCAACUCGACUACAUGAAGCUGGAAUCGCUAGUAAUCGUAGAUCAGCAUGCUACGGUGAAUACGUUCCCGGGUCU